CAAAGAACAGAAGAGAAAGGAAACAACAAGUGACAUAAAAACAACAAAAAAAACCCCAAACAUGAUGUUAUCUGUAUUUACCCUGGCGAUGUGUGUUGCCGUAGGAUUGGCAGUUUAUGAUCCAUAUGAUCCAAACUGUAUAACAAAUCAAGGUAUAAGUGCUAUUGGUGUUGACCCUAACUGGCGAAUUAACCGCGGAGGUUCAUUUAUUGGGCGACUACAACCAGAUAUGCAUAUCGGUAAUCGAUGGAAGAGGAGCACUUACAAUGCCAGAGGAGUUGACUGGGCAAGAGAUAGUAUAUGGGAUAACGAUCGACGGGGAAACCGACGUGGCAACCAAUGGGACAACGGCCGAUGGAACUCACAGAGAGGCAAUGGCAGAUGGAGGAACAGCAGACGGUGGGACAAUAGAAACAGAAAUAACCAAUGGGAGCCACGAAGAAACUAUUAAAAUCUUUCUUGGUAUAUAUUAAAUAUCAAUAAAAA